rnacentral:ncRNA from 2 species
ACUGCGAAUGGCUCAUUAAAUC